ACUAUCUAUGAUCUUGAACACAUCUCCUUGAUCGUUAAGCAUUUCCCCCCCUCGUACUAGAUAGAAAAUGGUUCGAAGGUGCUAAUGUCUCCGCCUUCAAAUCACCGAGUGACAGAUGCUAUUGAUAUUAGAGGCACUGUUGAAUGACCACAAGAGGAUAUCUGAAAUACCAUUCGACACUAGGACUAGGUUUAGCCACCUAGCAUACUUUCGCAUGUACACACGUCUGACCUUGUGUGUCGGCAAAGUACGUGGAUGAAUAGAUGAUGUUUCGCAAUUCUGUGCCAUCUACUCUGAACAACGACCGAUUUACAAUCGAUGAAAGUCAUCGACGUUGAAGAGAUGGUUGUUAUCUUCCUUCAUGUGCUAGCGCAAAAUGUGAAGAACCACCAGAUUCAAAGGGAGUUCAUACGGUCCAGUGAGACAGACUUGCAACAUUUCAACAUUGUCUUGAUGGUUGUGCUUCGUCUGCAUGACAAGUUUUUACAAUUCUUUUACUGAUUUAAUUGAUUUAUCAGAAUGGCCAGUUUCUUUAGGAACUCUAAGCAUCCAUGAACGAAGGUAGAGGAGAUAUGCCUAGUCGAUUUGGUGAACGUAGGGGGUUAAAGGUCGGACAACGAGACCUUCUGAUCAAGUUAUCGAUCGUAGUUGGUGAGGAUGCUGGGAGAAAGAAUGCUCGAAUGCACAGUCAUCGAAAGUCGAAUAAAAUUAUUCAUAAAGACGUUUCAGGCCAUUACUGAAAUCAAGGGGCCAAUGGGCAGUGGCUUUGGAAUAAACAAUGACAUAAAGUGCGUCAUUGCAGAGAGGGACAUGUUAGACAAUUGGGUUCGAACACAUCCUACAGCAAAAGGACUCUCAACAAGCCUUUCUCUCAUUACAACAAGUUAUCGUAUGUCUUUGAGAAAGACCAUGCGACAGGGGCCCAUGUAGAGAUGUUCACGGACAUUAGGUCGAACAUGGAAGGACCCAACGAUAGUGUGCAAGUAGAGGAUGGCCUGGAUACGAAGUUCCUGACUAUGUGCGCCCCCAAGAUGAACAUGUCACCCGAUGACAUUAUGGCCAAUUGAUCGGGUAGGUCCAGUGAUUGUAGGCCGAGUUCUAGCGAUCAAAAGAGGAAGUACGACAUGCAAGCAUUCAAGAAUUAUGACCUCAUUCAGGACGUCAUGGAAAGUGCAAAUGAUCAACUUAGGGCCGUUGCCGAAUGGCCAAAUAGAGUUGGCCAAAAUUAAGACGUACUACACAGGAAGUCAUUACACAUAUGUAGUCCAUUUCGGGUCUUAGUGUGGAGGACCUCAAUAAAUGCAUGAUGAUAGUGAUGGAGAAGGUGUCACUCAUGAAAAGCUUCAUCAACAUGCUCGAUCCGAUGAAGGCCGCAUACUGCAGGGUUCUUCUCCGCAAUAAUCCAUGACUUUGUUUCUCUUUCCUUUGCAUGACUUGUAUUUUUUGUUUUCAUGUCGUUGAAUUCAUGUUUUUCCUAGCUUUGCAUUAUAUGUUUGUACGCUAUAAUCGACAUUCACUAUUUUAUAUUGGAUUUUUUUAGA